rnacentral:rRNA from 1 species
AGCAGCCGCGGUAAUUCCAGCUCCAAUAGCGUAUAUUAAAGUUGUUGCAGUUAAAAAGCUCGUAGUUGAAUUUCGGGAUCAAUAUGUUGGUCGUGCCUUGGUACGUACUGGCAUUAUCGAUUCCUACCUUCUGAAGAACCUCGAUGUCAUUAAUUUGGUGUCUUGGGGAAUCAGGACUGUUACUUUGAAAAAAUUAGAGUGUUUAAAGCAGGCUCACGCUUGAAUACAUUAGCAUGGAAUAAUGAAAUAGGACGUUUGAUUCUAUUUUGUUGGUUUCUAGGAUCGACGUAAUGAUUAAUAGGGAUAGUUGGGGGCAUUAGUAUUCAAUUGUCAGAGGUGAAAUUCUUGGAUUUAUUGAAGACUAACUACUGCGAAAGCAUUUGCCAAGGAUGUUUUCAUUAAUCAAGAACGAAAGUUAGGGGAUCGAAGACGAUCAGAUACCGUCGUAGUCUUAACCAUAAACUAUGCCGACUAGGGAUCGGAUGAUGUUAAUUUUUAAUGACUCAUUCGGCGCCUUAAC